GCGCGCAGGUGGUUUCUUAAGUCUGAUGUGNAAGCCCACGGCUCAACCGUGGAGGGUCAUUGGAAACUGGGAGACUUGAGUGCAGAAGAGGAAAGUGGAAUUCCAUGUGUAGCGGUGAAAUGCGUAAAGAUAUGGAGGAACACCAGUGGCGAAGGCGACUUUCUGGUCUGUAACUGACACUGAGGCGCGAAAGCGUGGGGAGCAAACAGGAUUAAAUACCCUGGUAGUCCACGCCGUAAACGAUGAGUGCUAAGUGUUAGAGGGUUUCCGCCCUUUANUGCUGAAGUUAACGCAUUAAGCACUCCGCCUGGNGAGUACGGCCGCANGGCUGAAACUCAAAGGAAUUGACGGGGGCCCGCACANGCGGUGGNNCAUGUGGUUNAAUUCAAAGCAACGCGAANAACCUUACCAGGUCUUGNCNUCNUCUGAAAA
rnacentral:rRNA from 1 species